rnacentral:rRNA from 1 species
GAUUGUAGGCUGAAACUCGCCUACAUGAAGCUGGAGUUGCUAGUAAUCGCGAAUCAGCAUGUCGCGGUGAAUACGUUCCCGGGCCUUGUACACACCGCCCGUCACACCAUGAGAGUUGGCAAUACCCAACGUACGUGAUCUAACCCGCAAGGGAGGAAGCGUCCUAAGGUAGGGUCAGCGAUUGGGGUGAAGUCGUAACAAGGUAUC